UGACUCCGUCUCCCAAGUAUGUUUUUUUCAACCUUUCUUUCUACUUAGACGUUCAAGUUACUUUAUCUCUUCUGUUUCUCUUAUAAGUGCUGUGUUUCAGGGGAUUCUUUUAGGUUCCUAUAGUAUAGUUUAAGAAAACUGGUUGUGUCAGCUGAAGUACAACAUUCUGCAUUAAAAGUCAACGGCGACAUUCUUUCAGGUUUGCUUAACUAAUCGCGAGGAACACCACACAAGUAAAGUUAAACUUUCUUCAAAUAGGACACAAAACCAGCAAUUUGCUUAACUCUGCUCUCUGAACUGUUCUUCUAUAUAACAGAGUUGUUUUUUCCGAGCUUCC